rnacentral:lncRNA from 1 species
GCAGGGUGUUGAUCGGGCACUCCUCUGUGUAGAGAACCAUCCUGCAGUAAGCACAGAGUGAGGUCGGCAUGCUGCGAGCAGCAGAGGCUGUCAUCACCCCUGGAGCAGCGCGUCCCUGUUGCCCGCAUCCUCUCCAGCAUUUGGCGGCGUCUGUGCUCUGGACUGCAGCCCUUCUAGAAGGUCUCCGGUUUCUACCUCGGGACUCAGAGAACUCUCCGGAACAUGUUCCCGACCCUCGACCCUCAACCCUGGGGGAUUGCUCCAGACGACCCUCUGCUGGACCUGACGCCCGCCGCCCGCCGGCUGUCCUUACAAGCACGGUCAAGAAUACGCCGUCCUUUCACGUGGCCUUUAGCCCUGCUCAGGGAAAGGCUUGGGCACUAAGAACCUGCACUUCGUUCCGACACAGCACACUUCUCUACGAGGAGGGGAGAAGAGGGUUCACAUUACCAUCAGCUGCAGCAAAACUGGAACAGGAUUAAGACGGCGGAACAGAAAGACUGGAGCUCAACUGCUCUCCCCAAAACAACAGAAUUUACAACCAAAUGCUGCCCAAUCUUCAACCAAAUGGACCAGAAGCUUUCAAAAAGACAUCCUACUCCAGAAGACACAGAGGAGACCACAUCAAGAGGUAGGAGGGGCAAUUACGUGAUAUGAGCAACCCCAUACCUCCGUAGUGGGAAGCCCCACAGACUGGAAAGUAACUGGUUCAGAGACUCACCUACAGGAGUGAGAGUUCUGAGCCCCACAUCAAACUCUCACAUGUGGGGAUUCGGCACUGGGAGAAAGAGCCCCUGGAGCACUGGGCAUUGAAGGCCAGUGGGGCUUAUGUGCAGGAGCUCCGUGGGACUGGGGGAAAUAGAGACCCCACUCUUAAAAGGCACACACAGAAUUUCAUGUGCACUGGGUCCCAGGGCAAAGCAAAGUCUCCAUAGGAAUCUGGGUCAAACCUGACUGCAGUUCUUGGAGGACCUCCUGGGAAAAAAGGGGUGAAGGUGGCUUAUUGUGAGGGAGGGACAUUGGAAGCAAAGCUCUCGGGAAUCUUUAGCAGCAUGCCUUUCUCUGGAGGUGGCCUGUUUUUUGGGAAAAUCUGGCCCCACCCAUUGGUGCUGAGAAGCCCUAGGGCAAACAACAGUCCAGGUGGGAUCACAGCCCUGCCCAUCAGUAAACAGACUGCCUAAAGACCCCCCCCCACACACACACCGUCACCUCUAAUCUCACCCAGAGACAAAGCCCCACCCACCAGAGAGAUAGGAAUCAGCCCCAUCUACCAAUGGGUAGGCACCAGUCCCUCCCAUCUGGAAGCCUACAGCAAGCUCCCAUACCAACUUCAGCCACAAGGGGGGCAGACACCAGAAGAAAGAGAUAGUAUAACUCUAUUGUCUGCAAAAAGGAGAACACACCAAAAACCUAUAAAAAUGAAAAGGCCACGAGCUAUAACUCAGGUAAGGGAGAAAGGAAAAAACCCAGAAAAACAGCUAGGUGAUCUGGAGAUUCUCAGCCUCAAGGAAAAAGACUUUAUAGACUGUUGAUGCUGAAGAUGAUGUAAGACACUGGAAAUAAACUGGAGGCAAAGACGGGUAACUUACAGGAAACACUGACCAAAGAGAUACAAGAUACAAAACUUAAGUAAGAAGAGAUGCAAAAUACAACAACUGAAAUAAAAAAUUCAUUAGAAGCAGCCAACAGCAGAAUACAGGAGGCAGAAGAAUGAAUGAGCGAGGAGGAUGGCAGAUUAGUGGAAAUUACAGAUGCAGAACA